UAGGGAAUAUUGGGCAAUGGAGGCAACUCUGACCCAGCAACACCGCGUGAAUGAUGAAGGUCGUCGGAUUGUAAAGUUCUGAAAGGAGGGACGAAGAAAGUGACGGUACCUCCCCAAAAGCCACGGCUAACUACGUGCCAGCAGCCGCGGUAAUACGUAGGUGGCAAGCGUUGUCCGGAAUGACUGGGCGUAAAGCGUGCGUAGGUGGCCAUUCAAGUUAAUAGUGAAAUCCCGGGGCUCAACGCCGGUGCUACUGUUAAGACUGUGUGGCUUGAGUGCAGGAGGGGUAAGUGGAAUUCCUAGUGUAGCGGUGGAAUGCGUAGAUAUUAGGAGGAACACCAGUGGCGAAGGCGACUUACUGGACUGUAACUGACACUGAGGUACGAAAGCGUGGGGAGCAAACAGG
rnacentral:rRNA from 2 species